CCAGGGGAGACGGCGUUUGGGUUUUUGACGCGCCCUGGAUCGAACUCUGCAGUCCAGCCUGCGCUUUUCCAGAUGCUUUUGCAGGCCAGAGGCCUCACCAGUCUCUCAGGAGUGGUUAGCGAGCCCAUCCCCCCCCCCCCCCAGCAGACCCACCCGAGCCCUGCGGACGACGCUCAGCUGUCCAAACACGCAGCGGCGCGUUCAGUCCCAGUGACUCGCGUGAUGAUUAACGAGCGGCUUGAUCAUUUAAUAUCGCGUGUGAUUAAAUUAUGAGGUGUGGGGGAGGGGAGCGCUGCACUCCCGGCCAACCGGGCGGAUGCCGCCAGCCGGCGGGUCUGGGCUGAGCGCACGGAGCCGGCUAGCUCGCUGUGCACUGCGCCUGGCGAGGCUUGAGCCGCGGUCCGCGCCUUCCCGAGAUCCCUUAAGUCUGUUGCUUUCGGAAGACACCUGCAAAAAUGACGUGGAAAUCAGUGGCGCACCGGGUGGCAUUGUUCCUGGAUGCGUGGGGACGCCGGCGGCGCGGCCUGGCUGCGCGGCCUGGCUACACGUCCGGAGCGCGAGUCAGCAGUCAGCGCGCAUUGAUUUCACCCCGAGUCUCCGCCCUGCUGCCGAACAUCAUUUAGGCCAAGAUCGGGAUAAUGGGAAACACCAUCAGCAGACAAUUACCCUUUCAGAGGAUUCACUUCUCCUCACAGACACUGUUAUUUGAGAAAUAGGAUCAUUUGAUUUCAUAUUGCACUAAAUAACACCCAGCCGGUUCAAAUUGCCAGCUUCUUAAAAACCGCCCAUUGGAAUAAAUUGCAGCGGCCUCUUUUGCUUUUCAGGGAAAUAUGACCGGGACUGGGCAGAACUUGCAAAAAUAACUACAAAGCCAGCCCCGAGCAGUCGCUAUUGGUGGGAACAGCGCUGCCACCCCACAAGCAAAGACAUCCAGGCACUUUGUCCCUUGUCACCGCCCCCCUCCGCCUGCCAACUUUGAGAGGAUUCAACUACUUGGCUUUGGAAUUAAAAUGCUCAGCCCCAGCCACCCCGAGAAUGCGCCUCGAGCCACCCGGCGCACUAAUGUUGAGCCACGAGAGACGGGCAGGUGCGCGAGACAACAGGCUUCUCGGUAGCUUUCAGAGUGUGUGCCUUUGGAUACAGCCGCGGAGCUGGGGCCCCGAGGCGUGAGCGUGCGCCCCCCACGGUCCCGGGUCUCAGAUCCUAGUGCAGAGAGCGGCGCGGCCAACGGUCAGCGCGGGUCCCAUCGCUGCAUCCUGCUUCCAGGUGCGCCUUGUAGGCCUUUCUGCCUUCACAACCGGCGCCAAGUCGGCGGCCCUGGCAGGGUCUCGCAGGCAGGCAGGCAGGAGGAGAGGGCAAGCGGCCGGCGGCGGAAGACGUUUCAGAAAGAUUUAAGCCUUUUGAAGUCGACCACUUACUGUGUUUUGACACUGUUGGAUUGACAAUUGUCCAGCUGGAUGGGGGCGACCUACCCCCUACACUUUAAAAAUACAUAAGAGUUGACUCCUUGGUCCUUGUUCUUUUGUGCUACGACAAAACUACGUAACUACGACAGCGCGGGUUUGGGGAACCUGUCGGUGGAGGUCUUUAUGACAUUGGUGUUCAUGUACUUCAGGAGGCCGAAUUAGAUUCCCUCUCUCCUGCUUUUACUGAAGGCCAGAUCCUGGGGGCUCCCCGGUGCGCCCUACUCGGGUUGACCUGCAAGACCUGUUAGUGGGUCUAGGGACCCGGACCCAGGUGGCGAGGCCUAGGGGGAAACGAAGACACGGGCACAGGGAGAAUGUGCCCGAAGACCUGAGGCUCCAUGCUGAAUGAGGGUCCCUCAUGCCAGUUAUUUCCCUUCACAGCAGCCAGGCCAGCACUCCCGUAGGUGUACCAAAUGGCUAUCACUCUCUUGGACACCACAGAGCAAUGGCAGCACAAGCCAAGGGAAGAUUCCAGAACCUAUGACUAGGUUUGUGUGGAUUUGCAGUCAGUGGAUGCAUGUCCAUCAACCGUUUGGAAUCCAGGUUUCUAUAUUGGACUUUUAAUCAUGAGGUUUCCAAUGACAGAAUAAGCCCUGAAACAAAUGGACUAUUGUGCUCCCAGGAAAUGUGUUGCUAAGUAUGUUGUUUUUCAGUAAAACCACUAAAGAUAGAUGGCAGACAACUUGUACGAGUAGAGGAGCCAGAGAUUGACAAUUCUUUCUCAGUGGCUCUUACUGACCACACGGGGAUUUCUGUAGCUCUUGAAUGCAUUCUUCCUGCAAUCCCAUUUUAAAAAAUUAAAUGGCUUGAAUCACCCCUUUGGAUCAAAACUUUCUUUAUUGUAUAACCCAAAACUUUAUGGUUCAGCUUAUCUUAUGCCAGAUAGUAGAGGUGUCAUAGGCAAUGGUUUUGACACACUCACUGUUAUAACUAGCAACUUUUUGUGCUUUGAUGGCUGCCACAUAGAAAAUGCACUUUUAUGUGUUCUUGGAAAUCUAUAAAGGAUGCUCUGCUCUAGAAGAGGUAGAAUAGAAUAUGGGUGGUGCCACAGGUCAUGCCUGGGUUUAUUCACAUUCUGCCUCUG
rnacentral:lncRNA from 1 species